rnacentral:rRNA from 1 species
AGCAGCCGCGGUAAUUCCAGCUCCAAUAGCGUAUAUUAAAGUUGUUGCAGUUAAAAAGCUCGUAGUUGAAUUUCGGGGUCAGUAGGCUGGUCGUGCCACGGGUAUGUACUGGUCUUACUGAUUCCUCCUUCCUGAUGAACCGUAAUGCCAUUAAUUUGGUGUUGCGGGGAAUCUGGACUGUUACUUUGAAAAAAUUGAGUGUUUAAAGCAGGCUAACGCUUGAAUACAUUAGCAUAGAAUAAUGAAAUAGGACGAUCGAUCCUAUUUUGUUGGUUUCUAGGAUUGACGUAAUGAUUAAUAGGGAUAGUUGGGGGCAUUAGUAUUCAAUUGCGGAGGUGAAACCCUUGGAUUUAUUGAAGACUAACUACUGCGAAAGCAUUUGCCAAGGAUGUUUUCAUUAAUCGAGAACGAAAGUUAAGGGAUCGAAGACGAUCAGAUACCGUCGUAGUCUUAACCUAUAAACUAUAGCCGACUAGGGAUCGGAUGAUGUUAAUUUUUAAUGUACUCUAUUCGGCNCCGU